UGUAGAUGGUAUGCUGUUAUGUGUCCCCUCAGAAGAGCUUUCUAGCCAAGACAUCUGCUCUGCUGAAUUUUCUGACAGGGGUUAUAAUAUUUCUAGAUCGAAGGCACAACUUUGCAGCCUUGAGCUCAAGACUCUAAAACAGCUAAGGACAUUCAUGGAAAUUACAGGCUUUUGUGGCCUUCAGAUAGUAAUAUAUAGUGAGAUUUCGCGACCCAUCUAUUAGCUUAUAGAAAAGCCCAAGAGACAGACACCUGGGAACUUCAUUCCCAGACCUCAUUCCACAAGUUCAAACAAGCACUUCGAAGUGCCUACCUACAGGACACUGUUUCAGUCUGUAUAUUAAUAAAAGGAAAAACUGUCACAGGUAGACAUCUGCAGCACGGCAGGUUGGAGCCUUGCCAGGCCUUCUUCCCUCACUGCGUGGAAUUUGUACUUACCUCCAAAGAGUGUCACCUAGUCUCUUCUACAUCCAAACCUGGCCUGAGCGGACCCCACUGGAGAUAGAUGGCAUCCUACUAAAGGAUAACAAAUGAAGAGUUUUCUUUAUGUCAUUUCAUGUCUUGUGAUCAGAUGAAGGUGUUUCACUGAAAGACUAUUUCGUACUAAGAUAGACAUAGGCUGCCAAACUCCAAGUAGUCAUACAAAUGGAACCAAUGACAAAUGUGCUCGACUUCUUUUACCAGGAUUCACCGGAUUGACCUUAUUCAAAGCUAUAUGGCUACCAAGAUGACAAUGCCUGGCACCUAUCAAGGGCCUUCAGAUAGACUCUCUGUAGACUAACUCUUAACUACUGAUGACAACUACGACCCUCUUCAGCUGGAAGUAGCCAGAACGGUCUUCGCCCUUUGCCCCCUCACAGCAGUUAGGGGUACUUCUUCAGAGGGGGUAAUAUUACAGAUGGGUAAGUUAAUUAGUUAUCUUGUUGGCAGGUAGACAGGGCAUCCUUAAGGUGUCAGCCCUCCUGGAGCCAACACACCAAGGAACCAACAUGGAGAACAAUUGAG
rnacentral:lncRNA from 1 species